AUAUACGCGUGUACACACGGAAUGGGGGUAGUUUGAUUGGGCCAAUUCGAGGCAAUUCCUGGCGAUUGCUGGUUUCAUUGAGCCUGCGCUUAAGAGCUCAGUGCCACGCUGCCGGUCAACGGACAUGGAUCUCUUCGAAAGUAUAGGAACUCUUACCUUUCUCAUUCUUCCGAUCGAUUGUCUUCUUAUGAAUCGAUCGAUAAUUCCGUUCAAUUUCUUAUCUCGAUUAAAGUGGAUACCGGAAGAGGGAUAAUCUUGCGGAUAAUUCGAACAUAUGACGGUUAAAAUUGCGGGAUGAUUUGAAUUCGUUGGUAGUGCAUGGGACGCGAUGAAAUUAUUGUGCAUUUGGUACAGGACCUGUGACGCUAUGAAUGCACGUCGAUCAUCACUGAGAGCGCUAUGUGAUCUCUCGAAUCGUUUAAUCGAGGUUCAAGGUUUCAGUUCAAGGACUUCUGCGAACGAACAGAUAUGAAAUGGAUAGCUAAUACGGAUAUAUUUGAUGUGACUGAGAUUAGAAUAAAAAUAAUGUGGAAUUUGUGGAAGUUUGAACAGAUUGAUUACAAAUUGAUAGUGUGUGAUAUUCAAGAUGAAUUGAACGGAUUAUGAGAUUAUUAUAAAGCGCAAAAUUUAAUUCAAGUAGAAUUAAAUUUUCAGCGAUCAAGAGUCCAUUAUUUUCUCCGCCAUGAUCUUCGUUCCAAGAAAUAUCGGGGUCGCAUUAGGUCAAGCGCAAGGGGUCCAUAGUCGAAGUGGAAGCCUC